UACGUAGGGGGCAAGCGUUGUCCGGAAUUAUUGGGCGUAAAGCGCGCGCAGGCGGCCUUGUAAGUCUGUUGUUUAAACUUGGGGCUCAACCCCAAGUCGCAAUGGAAACUGCAAAGCUUGAGUACAGAAGAGGAAAGUGGAAUUCCACGUGUAGCGGUGAAAUGCGUAGAUAUGGGGAGGAACACCGGUGGCGAAGGCGGCCAUCUGGACGGUCACUGACGCUGAGACGCGAAAGCGUGGGGAGCAAACAGG
rnacentral:rRNA from 1 species